AUGGGGUUUUGCCAUGUUGGCUAGGCUGUUCUCGAACUCCUGACCUCAUGUGAUCCACCCGCCUCAGCCUCCCAAAGUGCUGAGAUUACAGACAUGAGCCACCACGCCUGGCCGCGAUUAGAUCGUUGAUCUCAUUGCAGGUGAACCAGUCCAGACCCCCACCCAGGUUUUCCAGCUUGCUCGCUCCUCACGCUGUAGCUGUGUCCUGCGUUGCUGUGUUUCCACUGAAUCCAGCCCAUGUUUUCGCUCUUCCUGGCCUUGCGGGGAGCCAGGAUUGAAAGAUCCAGGAAGUGACAGGGGCCUGACUCAUCAUCUUGUAAGAGAGCUGGGGUUCUCCUAGAUCCAUGCUCGCACUGAGGUGAGAAAUGAGGAGCCAGAGCAGGGAGCCUCCUGGGGGUGGGCUGCCAACAUCAGGCAGACGGGGAAUGAUUUUCACUUGUAUGGUGGAGGAUGCCACACACAGACAUGACUAGAAAGAGCCUGGACCAUGUCCUGAGGUCAGCGACUGAGGUCCUGGGUGGGGCCAGCCAGGACCUGCCCGGGGGCUACUGCAUCUGAAUCAAUACCUCCAGGGACCCUACGUUGACACCCAUGGCCUCCCACUCUCCACCCCUCAGUCCUGCGUGCGGCACGUAGUGCUCACUGGGCGUCUCUGUAGGGGUUGAAGGCUGAGGCUGGAACAAGGGCGUGGCGGCCCCAGGCUCCAGGGCACGACGGUCCUUCCUCUUCCCCUUCUCAGCCACAUCUGGGGCUCCGUCCCUUCAGCCAAGGCUCCCUGGCGCUGUCCUUGGUGCUGACGCGGUUCUGGAAGUGCGGUUCCAGGGUGGCUGGUGCGGCUCCCGAUGGAAAAGCCCCACCAACCCCACAAAGCAGACUCGGGAGAGAACACGCCACACGUCUUUAGCGAAUCUUACCAACCCAGGGCCAAAGCGCCCUGCACCCCAGAGCAGCACUCGUGGUGGGAACACAGGCUGAUGUAAUCAACAGAAACGUGACUGCGGAGGAUGGGGAAGUCGGGAUGUCCUUAGCGUCCCAUGGAAAAAACAUAUUUCCUCCAGAUGGGAUCAUCGAUAACUUUUUUUGAGUCUUGAGGAAAACCCAGUCUCUCUUGGCGCUGAGGAGAAAACAUGGUGCAGCCCUUCUCAGUCCUCUAGCAACCCUGGACUCUGCAGGAGAAAAGAGAGAUUCCCUACAUUUGUUUCUAUGAGAGAAGGGAAGGCUGGAGCAGGGGAGUGGAGGAAAUCUCUGCAGUCCUCUUGGAAAGCAAACCCUUCUACACCUGUGAUCCCAUGCGAUUUAGCUGAGCCUUGAAUUAAAACUAGGCCAUGAUGGCACUUGGUGACACAAACAUCUGACAAAAGAGCUGUACCCUUUAUAUUUUCAAAGACUUCCUACAAAUUAAGGAAGGCAGAAGACCCAUUUAAUGGGCAAUGGACUUGAAGAGACACUUUACCAAGAACAUCCAAAUGGCCACACACACACAUACACACACAAACAGGAAUGUGUUCAACUUCAUUAGUCAUUAUGGAAAUUAAACCACAAGGAAGCACCAGAACACUGCAGCAGAAGAACUAAAAUGGAAAAGACGAACAACCAUUUGCAAGAAUAUGGGGCAAAUGAAGCUUCCUCACAUUGCUGGCAGGAUGGUAAACUGGUAAGCUGCUUUGAGAAAUGGUUUGUCAGUAACUACAAAAGCCAAAGGUACGUAUAUCAUCACUCAGCGAUUCCACUGCUAGGCAGACACCUGAGGGAAAGAACUUCCUGUGUGCUCCAAAAGACAUGGACAGAAAUGUUCAUGGUAGCUUUAUUCAUAGUAGCCCAAAACUAGAAACAUAAAAUGUCCAUGAAGAGAGGGAUGAAAACAAACUGUAAUACAUUCAUACGAUAAAUACUACACAGCAAUAAAAAUAAAAACACACAGCAUGGAUCCA